rnacentral:rRNA from 1 species
GGAGGAUCCGAGCGUUAUCCGGAUUUAUUGGGUUUAAAGGGAGCGUAGGUGGACUGGUAAGUCAGUUGUGAAAGUUUGCGGCUCAACCGUAAAAUUGCAGUUGAUACUGUCAGUCUUGAGUACAGUAGAGGUGGGCGGAAUUCGUGGUGUAGCGGUGAAAUGCUUAGAUAUCACGAAGAACUCCGAUUGCGAAGGCAGCUUACUGAUUGUAACUGACGCUGAUGCUCGAAAGUGUGGGUAUCAAACAGGAUUAGAUACCCUGGUAGUCCACACAGUAAACGAUGAAUACUCGCUGUUUGCGAUAUACAGCAAGCGGCCAAGCGAAAGCGUUAAGUAAUCCACCUGGGGAGU